rnacentral:lncRNA from 1 species
AGAAUUGUUGUUCCCACAUUUGGUUUGGCUGUGCCACACGAGUAAAUUACUCAAAUGCCCUUCGGUAGUAAACUGCCGAAGUUUUUAGGAAACCGGCGGCAGUUAACUGCCGAGGAAAACCUCGGGAGUUAACUGCCGAGGAAAAUGUUAUAAGAACAGAACUGCAUAGGAGUUUCCAAAAUUCCAUUGUUGCGUUUUUAAUUAUCCAAGGUGCGAUUUUGAGUCAUUUGAAGCCAUUACAAGCCAAUUUCAAUCACAAAAACAA